UACAGAGGAGCCAAGCGUUGUCCGGAUUGACUGGGCGUAAAGCGCACGCAGGCGGAUGCGCGCGUGGGGUGUGAAAUCUGGCCGCUUAACGGCCAGGCGCCAUCCCAUACGGCGCGUCUGGAGUGAUGCAGAGGUCGAUGGAAUUGCCGGUGUAGUGGUGAAAUGCGUAGAGAUCGGCAGGAACACCCAGGGGGAAACCAGUCGACUGGGCAUCUACUGACGCUGAGGUGCGAG
rnacentral:rRNA from 1 species